AACGAACGCUGGCGGCAUGCCUAACACAUGCCAGUCGAACGAUGCUUUCGGGCAUAGUGGCGCACGGGUGCGUAACGCGUGGGAAUCUGCCCUUGGGUUCGGAAUAACAGUGAGAAAUUGCUGCUAAUACCGGAUGAUGUCUUCGGACCAAAGAUUUAUCGCCCAGGGAUGAGCCCGCGUAGGAUUAGCUAGUUGGUGGGGUAAUGGCCUACCAAGGCGACGAUCCUUAGCUGGUCUGAGAGGAUGAUCAGCCACACUGGGACUGAGACACGGCCCAGACUCCUACGGGAGGCAGCAGUGGGGAAUAUUGGACAAUGGGCGCAAGCCUGAUCCAGCAAUGCCGCGUGAGUGAUGAAGGCCUUAGGGUUGUAAAGCUCUUUUACCCGGGAUGAUAAUGACAGUACCGGGAGAAUAAGCUCCGGCUAACUCCGUG
rnacentral:rRNA from 1 species